AGCUUGCUUCUUUGCUGACGAGUGGCGGACGGGUGAGUAAUGUCUGGGAAACUGCCUGAUGGAGGGGGAUAACUACUGGAAACGGUAGCUAAUACCGCAUAACGUCGCAAGACCAAAGAGGGGGACCUUCGGGCCUCUUGCCAUCGGAUGUGCCCAGAUGGGAUUAGCUAGUAGGUGGGGUAACGGCUCACCUAGGCGACGAUCCCUAGCUGGUCUGAGAGGAUGACCAGCCACACUGGAACUGAGACACGGUCCAGACUCCUACGGGAGGCAGCAGUGGGGAAUAUUGCACAAUGGGCGCAAGCCUGAUGCAGCCAUGCCGCGUGUAUGAAGAAGGCCUUCGGGUUGUAAAGUACUUUCAGCGGGGAGGAAGGGAGUAAAGUUAAUACCUUUGCUCAUUGACGUUACCCGCAGAAGAAGCACCGGCUAACUCCGUGCCAGCAGCCGCGGUAAUACGGAGGGUGCAAGCGUUAAUCGGAAUUACUGGGCGUAAAGCGCACGCAGGCGGUUUGUUAAGUCAGAUGUGAAAUCCCCGGGCUCAACCUGGGAACUGCAUCUGAUACUGGCAAGC
rnacentral:rRNA from 1 species